AUUCUACUCCCUCCGUUGCACAAUACAUGCCUUCUAUUUGUCAAAAUAUAUAUAUAUGUAUCUAGACAUGUUUUAGUAUAUAGGUACAUCCAUUUUUGGACAAAUGGAAGUCAAGUAUUUUGGAAUGGAUGGAGUACACA
rnacentral:pre_miRNA from 1 species